rnacentral:rRNA from 1 species
UACAGAGGUCCCAAGCGUUGUCCGGAUUUACUGGGCGUAAAGAGCGCGCAGGCGGUCGAUCAAGUCGAGUGUGAAAGCCCCCGGCUCAACUGGGGAGGGUCACGCGAUACUGGUCGACUCGAAGGCAGGAGAGGGUAGUGGAAUUCCCGGUGUAGUGGUGAAAUGCGUAGAUAUCGGGAGGAACACCAGUGGCGAAGGCGACUACCUGGCCUGUUCUUGACGCUGAGGCGCGAAAGCUAGGGGAGCGAACAGG